AUUGAACGCUGGCGGAAUGCUUUACACAUGCAAGUCGAACGGCAGCACGGACUUCGGUCUGGUGGCGAGUGGCGAACGGGUGAGUAAUGUAUCGGAACGUGCCCAGUCGUGGGGGAUAACGUAGUGAAAAUUACGCUAAUACCGCAUACGAUCUAUGGAUGAAAGAGGGGGAUCGCAAGACCUCGCGCGAUUGGAGCGGCCGAUAUCAGAUUAGGUAGUCGGUGGGGUAAAGGCCCACCAAGCCAACGAACUGUAGCUGGUCUGAGAGGACGACCAGCCACACUGGAACUGAGACACGGUCCAGACUCCUACGGGAGGCAGCAGUGGGGAAUUUUGGACAAUGGGCGAAAGCCUGAUCCAGCCAUUCCGCGUGCAGGAUGAAGGCCCUCGGGUUGUAAACUGCUUUUGUACAGAACGAAAAGGUUUCUACUAAUACUAGGAGCUCAUGACGGUACUGUAAGAAUAAGCACCGGCUAACUACGUGCCAGCCGCCGCCGUAA
rnacentral:rRNA from 1 species